CGAGCACGCGCGUGUGGCAUAUCAAUAAGCGGAGGAAAAGAAACUAACAAGGAUUCCCUUAGUAACGGCGAGUGAAGCGGGAAGAGCUCAAAUUUGAAAUCUUCAAGGUUCUACCUUGACGAAUUGCAGUUUAUAGAAGUGUUUUCUGUUAGUGGAGUGGCAGAAGUUCUUUGGAAUAGGACAUCAUAGAGGGUGAGAAUCCCGUAUUUGGUCAUUCCUCCUAGCGUUGUGAUACACUUUCAACGAGUCAGAUUGUUUGGGAAUGCAGUCCAAAAUGGGUGGUAAAUUUCAUCUAAAGCUAAAUAUUGGCGAGAGACCGAUAGCGAACAAGUACCGUGAGGGAAAGAUGAAAAGAACUUUGAAAAGAGAGUUAAACAGUACGUGAAAUUGUCAAAAGGGAAGCGUUUGACACCAGUGUUGUUUUUCCGAAAAUCAAUUACGAAUGUUUUAUUUUUGAGGAGUUAUGACUUCAUCGGCUUGCUUCUUUCUUUACGAAACUUUCUUAAUGCACUUUUCGGUUAACAAGUCAACAUCAAUUUCUUUUGUUGUAAAAGGGUAUGAGGAAGGUGGCUUUCUUUUCGGAGAAAGUGUUUAUAGCCUUGUGCCUCUGCAAUCGGAGAGAUUGAGGUCUGCAGCGUAGAUCCUUCGGGGUUAGAUACGUUUGUGCUAAGUUAUAGCUUUUCAUAGACAACUUGUUGACUAUGUUUAGUCUUGUAGCUUACUCGCUUAUGCUAUUUUACCUACGCUUAGGAUGUUGAGCGCAUGUCUCUCUCU
rnacentral:rRNA from 1 species